rnacentral:rRNA from 1 species
AUUGAACGCUGGCGGCAUGCUUUACACAUGCAAGUCGAACGGUAACAGGUUAAGCUGACGAGUGGCGAACGGGUGAGUAAUGCAUCGGAACGUGCCCAAUCGUGGGGGAUAACGCAGCGAAAGCUGCGCUAAUACCGCAUACGAUCUGAGGAUGAAAGCGGGGGACCGUAAGGCCUCGCGCGAUCGGAGCGGCCGAUGUCAGAUUAGGUAGUUGGUGGGGUAAAGGCUCACCAAGCCGACGAUCUGUAGCUGGUCUGAGAGGGCGACCAGCCACACUGGGACUGAGACACGGCCCAGACUCCUACGGGAGGCAGCAGUGGGGAAUUUUGGACAAUGGGCGCAAGCCUGAUCCAGCAAUGCCGCGUGCAGGAAGAAGGCCUUCGGGUUGUAAACUGCUUUUGUACGGAGCGAAAAGGCUCUCUCUAAUACAGGGGGCUCAUGACGGUACCGUAAGAAUAAGCACCGGCUAACUACGUG